rnacentral:rRNA from 1 species
GGACGAACGCUGGCGGCGUGCUUAACACAUGCAAGUCGAACGGAAAGGCCCUGCUUUGUGGGUGCUCGAGUGGCGAACGGGCGAGUAACACGUGAGUAACCUGCCCUUGACUUUGGGAUAACUUCAGGAGACUGGGGCUAAUACCGGAUAGGAGCUCCUGCUGCAUGGUGGGGGUGGAAAGUUUCGGCGGUUGGGGAUGGACUCGCGGCUUAUCAGCUUGUUGGUGGGGUAGUGGCUUACCAAGGCUUUGACGGGUAGCCGGCCUGAGAGGGUGACCGGCCACAUUGGGACUGAGAUACGGCCCAGACUCCUACGGGAGGCAGCAGUGGGGAAUAUUGCACAAUGGGCGGAAGCCUGAUGCAGCAACGCCGCGUGCGGGAUGACGGCCUUCGGGUUGUAAACCGCUUUCGCCUGUGACGAAGCGUGAGUGACGGUAAUGGGUAAAGAAGCACCGGCUAACUACGUG